CCUACGGGUGGCAGCAGUGGGGAAUAUUGCACAAUGGGGGAAACCCUGAUGCAGCGACGCCGCGUGAGUGAAGAAGCGUUUCGGCGCGUAAAGCUCUGUCAGCGGGGAAGAAACACGGUUCGCGAGAGCCGCGGACGGUACCCGACCAAGAAGCCCCGGCUAACUCCGUGCCAGCAGCCGCGGUAAUACGGAGGAUGCGAGCGUUAUCCGGAUUUAUUGGGUUUAAAGGGUGCGUAGGCGGAAGGUUAAGUCAGCGGUCAAAUGUCGGUGCUCAACACCGGCCUGCCGUUGAAACUGGUCUUCUUGAGUGAGCGAGAAGUAUGCGGAAUGCGUGGUGUAGCGGUGAAAUGCAUAGAUAUCACGCAGAACUCCGAUUGCGAAGGCAGCAUACCGGCGCUCAACUGACGCUGAGGCACGAAAGCGUGGGGAUCGAACAGGAUUAGAUACCCGAGUAGUC
rnacentral:rRNA from 1 species